rnacentral:rRNA from 1 species
UAAUACGUAGGGGGCGAGCGUUGUCCGGAAUUACUGGGCGUAAAGGGCGCCUAGGCGGUUUCUUAAGUCUGCUGUGAAAGACCGGGGCUCAACCCCGGGGUGUCAGCGGAGACUGGGAGACUUGAGUGUCGGAGAGGAGUGCGGAAUUCCUGGUGUAGCGGUGGAAUGCGUAGAUAUCAGGAGGAACACCGAUGGCGAAGGCAGCACUCUGGCCGAAUACUGACGCUGAAGCGCGAAAGCGUGGGGAGCGAACGGGAUUAGAUACCCCGGUAGUCCACGCCGUAAACGAUGUCAACUAGGUGUGGGGAAGGUCACCUUCUCCGUGCCGCAGCUAACGCAUGAAGUUGACCGCCUGGGGAGUACGGCCGCAAGGUUG